rnacentral:lncRNA from 1 species
CAGACGAACCAGAUGCUACGUUCUUUUUACAAGCAACUGUUACAUGCAAUCAAGUGCAUUCUAAUAUUACAAACAUAAAAUGUGUGAUAUAUAUGUUAUGUAAAUCUUUUUAUUUAUUUAUAAACUUUCUAUAAAAUGAACAAAUCAAAGAAUGUAUUUCUCUGCUACAGAUGAAACAUAUCCCCCUUGUUGACCCUCUACAUAGGUAGAUGUUAUCAGUAAGUGUUAUAAUGAGGUGUAGACAGACAGAAUAUAUCUGGUCAAAACAGCUAGAACCAUCUGUUUCAAUGUCUGAUAGAAUGCCAAGGUCAACACUUAUCUCUUAAACAAACUAACUUCUGUUUUUAAUAUGUUAUCAAUUAAAACUUUGUCAGCACAAUAUCUGCAUUACUGUGGUGAGAAAUCUCUUUGAAACAAUAGAGUUAUCUAACUAAGUUAAGUUCUAUGUUAACUUUCAGAAUUAAUUCUUAACAAGCUAGAAUUGAAUUUCUUUUGGUUUACAAAGUUUUAGUGACAAUGAAGCUUAACACUAAUUUUGAAAAACCAAAGCCUUUUUUUUUUUUUAAAUUAAUCAACUUUACCCAUUUUUUUGUUUAUGAACAUUGUUGAUCUAUAUGAAUUGGACUUUUGAAAGAUUGAUCGACUGAUUGAUUGAUGGUGUUUAACACCACUUUUAAGGAGCCUUUUUGGGGUUAUUUGGUGGGAGGUCAGUUUUUAGGUGGAGGAAGCUGGAGUGGCCUGAGAAACCCACUGACCUUCAAUAGGAAAACUGACAAUCCUAGUCAAUUAAGAUUGGAGUCUAGUGCACCCAUGUUAUAUAACAACAGACAGACAGACAUCAAAAGAAAUGGCUAUGUAGCUUUAGAAAAGAUUGGACCCAUUAACAACAGACGGUCAGACAUCAAAUGAGAAAUCUGGUAGAGAAGACUGAGGACUAUAGCUAUGUAAUCUGAUAAGAGAAGUUUUAUGUUCCCUGAACAAGUUAGACAGACAUAAUACAAUUUUUGUGUAUAUUAUGUUCAUGGAUAAUGAAAUCUUUCUAUAAUUGUCUCUUAGCUGAAUGGCAAUCAUAGAUAAAUUUGAUAGUCCAUAAUUCAAUUUAUGGUAAAUCAAGAAUAAUACAUUC